rnacentral:lncRNA from 1 species
ACCAAAAGUGAAAAAUAUAUCGGAUUAAUAAGGCCGCCGUGUGUGAAAAGUGCCAAAAAUACUAAUAAUAAUACAUAAAGAUUCAAAGUCACAAAUAAUCUACCUACUUAAUAGCAGCAAAUUUUAGUGCUCCUUGCCGUUAAUCGCCCACUACUGAGCAUCAUAGGGAGGCCCCCUUCGUGUACGCCACUUAUCCCGGUCCUG